GGAGGCUUUUUUUCUCCUCAGAAAGCAAAUUAGUUAUUUUUCACUGUAGCCAUUUUUUAUUUUGAUAAAUGAGAAAUGACUGAAAGCAAGAACUGGAGAUGAACUCUCCUGAUCACAGCUCAUGAGGAGACCUCACAGUAACUUCCUCAGUGGCCAUUCAUUCAUGACCUACCCGCUACUCUUGAUCAGCACAGGUUACCGACAAGCCACAGCCCGCGGUGUCUUCCCAGCCCUGAUGCUCACAACCUCUCUGCAGCAUUUUGCAUGUAGGCCCUUCCUCCGUGAAACUUUUUCUGGCUUCUGUACCACUGAAUUCUUCUGAUUCUCCUCUUAUUUCUCUGAUGCUAAUUCUAUGCCUCUUUUGUUGGUUUCAAAUUCUCCUCUUUCCAUCUAAAUAUCAGUCUCCCUUUUCUUUCCAUAUUCUUCCCUUGCCCUCAAGCCCUAAUUCCCUCAUUGAAAUUUUUCUCAAAAUUGUAUCUAUCCCUGACCCUUCUUCUCAGCCUCAGACCUGUUUGUCAACUGCCUGGUGGACAUCCCCACCUCGACACCCCACGGACCUUAGAACCACAACAGCCCACUAACUAGUCACGUAACCCCCACAGGUCAGUUCCUUCAGGGUCUCCCCAGCUGGAAAACAAAGGAGCUUAACGGAAUUAUCUCCAAGCUUCCUCCUAAAUCUAUAAUAUGGUGAUUUCAUCAGAUGUGGAACUCAUCUUCUUCUCCCAUAAUAAGCUCUUUUUCUUGUCUUGUGCUUGACUCCUUCCAAAGUAGACUCAAGACCCCAAAGAUCUCUAGGCAUGGUUAAAAACAGAAAAACCAAAUCUGAACCAGGUCCUGCCUCAGCUCAGCGUUCAUCACACCUUCCGCCACCUCAGUAUCUCUCCGUCUGCCUCUUAGCUUUAUCUUCUCCUGGACACAGGAUAAUCCAGCUUGCAUUGAGGUGGUUCACUUAUGUUUCCUAAAUACCUACUCCCCAGAUUCACACCUCUGAGGCUUUUCUCAUGCUUUUCCUCCUCCUCAAACACUUCCUUUCACUCCCAAAUUCCUUUUCCUACUGGAAUCACACCCACUUUUCAAGACUCUUUUUUCCAUAAAAAGUAAGGUUUUCUGAUCCCAACAAAUCCAAAGCGUCUCGUGGACAUCUCUUAGAUGCUCUUUGCCAGUGGUUCUUAACCUUGGCUGUGCAUUUGAAUCACCUGGAAAGCUGUCCUGAAAUCCCAGUUCCCAGGCUACGCCGCAGACCAACUAAAUCAG
rnacentral:lncRNA from 1 species